rnacentral:rRNA from 1 species
AGCGAACGCUAGCGGCGGGCCUAACACAUGCAAGUCUUGCGGGUCACUUCGGUGAUCAGCGGCGGACGGGUGAGUAACACGUAGGUAAUCUGCCCUUUGGUGGGGAAUAACCCAGAGAAAUCUGGGCUAAUGCCGCACGAGGCCUUCGGGUCAAAGCCUUCGGGCGCCAGAGGAUGAGCCUGCGUCGCAUUACCUAGUUGGUAGGGUAAUGGCCUACCAAGGGGACGAUGCGUAGCUGGUCUGAGAGGAUGAUCAGCCACACUGGGACUGAGACACGGCCCAGACUUCUACGGAAGGCAGCAGUGGGGAAUAUUGCGCAAUGGGCGAAAGCCUGACGCAGCUACGCCGCGUGGGUGAUGAAGGCCUUCGGGUUGUAAAGCCCUGUCGGGAGGGACGAAGUUCUGACGGUACCUCCCAAGAAAGCACCGGCUAACUCCGUGCCAGCAGCCGCCGCGGUAA